GAAUUACAUGAAACCAAGUUCCUGUUUCCUACAGAAUAACUGUGGUUUUUUGUUGUCUGAGUUUUCGAACUGAACACGUCACCACACGCAGGAAGCAAGUAUGCAUUAAAACUUAUUUUUCUCAUCAAUCUGAUCAUAAAGACAGAAUCAGCCUGUUGCAUCUGCAUUUUGUUUCACGGGUAAGUGACCUACUUUGUUUUAAAUAUGAAAUGUUUUCAUCAUCACUAAGGACCAAAAACAGUGUGAAAAGAGCUCUGUUCUUUCAACCUCUUUACUUCAGUAAUAUGCUUAAAGCUGCACAAAAUGCAGCAAAAUAUCACAUCUAAAAAAAAUGUUAUGAAAACAAAAGAGACCAGGAUUUUUCUGUUCUGCUAGAAUCCUUUUAUAAAUAAUUAAAGUGUCACAGAAUUCUUAAAUGUGCAAGAAGCCAGAUGCUUCAACUAUUUAAACAAAAGGAAGUGGGGAGGAGGAAUCAAAACUUUCUACUGAGCCGGAAUGUUGCCUUCUACUGUUUUAGAAUAAGACUAAAGCAAGAGUUGCACACAUAACAGAUUUUAAACACAACACUGUUGACAUUCUUCCUCUGUGUAGAAGAAAAAAAAACCUCUUCUCAAUUUGUUUGUUUCUGUAGAAACUGCACUCCUUCAGUUAAAUUCUUACUGUAAUCAACUGUAUAAGUAACUCCAUUUUUUAUUUCUCUGCCUCUACAAAUCCUGUCUCUGAAUUUAACUUAUGUCAGAAUCCCUAGAACCAUCUUUUGCAAAGAAUUAUAAACACAUUUACACUAAACAGCUAAAAUAGCAAUAACACUCCAGUUGCGCACAAGGCUUGCUUGUAUAAAAGAAACUUCUUUCUCCUGUUGGGAAAAGAAACCAGGGAAGGGCUGUCAUAUGUUAAGCAUCUAUACAAAAAUAGAUCUGGUUUCUAAAACAACGAUUCCUAAACAUAGUAAUGCAGCUUGGAAGCUUUCAAAUAAGUCGUCAGUUUAAUUCAUUAAACUGAAAUGCCCAGACUUGAGUGUUUUAAGCAAACGCAUGCAAGGGGGAAAUAAUUUCAAGUUCUGCCUUUCUCAAGAGAUUUCCCUCGCAGUACUUGCCCUCCUGUAGUUCUCUCCUGCUUGUUGUGGGGAAUGGUUCGGCUCCAUCUAUUGGAGGCAAGGAUAAUUUAUUAGCUGUGUGUCUGAGCCUGAGAACAGGAUUCCAGAACAUUUUUGUAUUCACUGCCAAAACAAAUAAAGCCUAACAUACUAGCAGCACAAUGCCUGAGAAGGGCUUUCUUUAAAAUGGAGGAGUCAGAAAAAGUCAGAAAGAAAUAAGGGGAAGAAUCAUCAGUGAAAGAAAAGAUCAGAAAGAAGUUGAGAAACAGAAGUGAACAGUAUACAGAUUAUUAUUUUUUUUCAAAAAAGAAACCAAAUGCAUAUCCUAAAAAAGAACUGCAUUCAUUUCUUUUAAAAAAUACUUUUUUUAAAAAAAUGUGUUUAUUCAUUUGUCUUAUAUCCUGCCCGGGGCAGCUAACAACCACCAUUAAAAUAGAAAUACAGUACAACAAUAACUAAAACAUCAACAAAAUCCAACUAUUAAAACAUAACAUAGUGAACAAUAAACCUUUAACUAUUAGGCUCCAAUCUAGUUAUAUUCCAAAAGCCAGGACAAUUUGUGUGUGUGUGUGUGUGUGUGUGUGUGUGUGUGUGUGUUAGGAAUAAAUGCUAUUUCCUUGUUCAAAUUAUGUUUCAAAUAAACCCUGGGGGUUCCUUGGAAGCAAAAGAGAGGUUCUGCACUGAGAAAAAUCUGUAAUAUGGGAAACUCCCCUAAAAGCUUGCCUACUACAACAUGCUUUCCCUUGCAUGCAACAAGCAUCCAAAGAAGAAUGUUGGGUUUGUUAUAGGACAGACAUUCCCUUCACGUGUGGUAACUAUGAGGCCCAAUGUCUAGGUUAGUGCUCUGGAUAAACUGACUGCGCACCUCAGAAUACUUCCCAGAAUGCUCUGCAACACCCAUUAAUGGAAGAUAUGCAGAAGAUCCUCAGCAGAAAAGGUAAUAUGAGAAGGACUGCGUUAAAGCAAAAAGUAUGAAAUCCAUGGCUUUAAACCUAAUGCGUUCUGACUGUAAUUUCAGCUGUUGUCAUGAAAUGAUGAUAUUCUAAGACACUUCAUUCUGCAGAAGCCACUAAACAACGUGAAGGGAUGCACAAGCCAUGCAGCUUGCUAGAAUUGCUGCAGUAAAUUUGCUGUUAUGCUAGGUAAUCAGAGAAAGCUGGUGGUAAAAAUUAUUUUCCCAGAGUAAUGGAAAUUAAAGAACCUCACAAUCUAUAUACCUCCAUGUAAUUUUUUCUUCACUAACAGAAAAGGUACCCUUUCCAGUUAUAAAUGAUUUUCAUUUUAUUUUACAAAAUGGAAUUCUCAAUGCCAUUAUAAGGUUUUUACUAAGAAUGUACUAUGUGGUGAUGUACAUUUGAUGCAUUUGCCGCCUGCUGAGUGUUUUUCAGGCAACACAAAAUGCAGUGAGUCUAAGAGUUCCUUAGAAUUCUAAUCCAAAAGAUGCAUUCAAGAUUAGCUGAGAUUCCUGCAUUGCAGAGUUGGACUAGAUGACCCUCAGGAUCUCUUCCAACUCUACAAUUCUAUUAUUCUAGUUGAAUGCACUCUGUCAGUUCACAAAUGGAAAGCAUUUCUUCAACACUCAAGCUGUAGACUACUCUUAUAUUAUUCUAUCAGAACUCAGAUCCAUUCUAUCACAAGCAGGGCUACCCCACGUCUGGAUUUUCCAGGACAUUACUGGGAUUUCAAAGGCGGAAUUGAUGUCUGGGGGGGAUUUCUGAAAGGCGGCGCUCUGUCCUGGAUCUUCAUAGGCAAGUCAACUGGAAAACUCUGGGGUUUGUAAAAAAAAAAUUUUUAAAUUGAGGUCUUCCUAAAAAAAGCUCAACAAUCACAACUCUUAUUGCCACUUACAAAUAUGCUUAUUAAAUGCCACUUUGUCUGACAGCUUGCUUGUGAGUCAGGAAGCAGAAAGGUAGACAUUGACAGUACUAAUACUAAGCUCAACACAAACAUUUGCAGAUACUAAUACUGGCCUACAUCAUAAAGUUGCUUUUUAAGAGUCACUGAUAUAAUAUGUCAUGUGCUUUGAACACUCUUUCAGUGUCUUAUAAAUGGUAUAAUUAUUGUAAUAACCUAGUGGCUCAGGCUUUUGCGGAUGUGCUGCUCUCACUAAAUGCUUUUCUUCUGUUAGCAAACAAUCUGUUUCUUCUUCUUCUAACCCACAAGUGAGUUUCAUUUCAACUUACAUUAAUGAAACAGAGUUCAUUCUGGUAGCAAAAUGGAAAGGAACUAAUCCCUUUUACAUUUUUUUUUUUUUUAAAAAUCCAUGCUGAGUGCUAGCUAGCUAUUGCCAGUGGAGCAGAUAAAUCCCUCCCUCCCACUUAACAAUUUAGUCUAAUGUCCUUUGUGUGCAGCCCACCUUCCCUUUCUUGCAUCUGAUGCUCCAAAUCCCAAUUUCAAAGCUACCUCAUUUUAGCCAACUCCACCUUUCUACUGUAAGCUGCGGGUUCUUGCUGCAAAGAUACCUAAUUGAAAAAGCUGCCCCCAAAACUUAUUGCUGAAGCCUCAGUACAGGAAAGGGUUUUGUUGAUUUCAUUUAGCAUAAUUCAGCCAAUGAUGCAACCAUGCUGCCUGUGAUGCUCUAGAACAGGCUUCCUCAAACUCGGCCCUCCAGAUGUUUUGAGACUACAGUUCCCAUAAUCCCUUACCACUGGUCCUGCUAGCUAGGGAUCAUAACUGUUCAGGACCAAAUUACAUGACAAAAAUCUGGCCUGCAGUUCAUGAAGAGGGAUUUGUGGCACAGCAGGCAUUCGAUCCUGUGUCUUCUUGGUCAAAGUCCAAACAUCAAAGGCCAGUACCUUAACCAUUAUAUCCCAUGGCUCUCUCAAUCUUGAACACCUUGGAUUGGGGAAACUGGGGAUCAAAAUUCCUUCUUGGCUAUAAAACCAAGGCAGUCACUGUCUCAGCAUAAUUCUACUUCACAAGGUAUUUGUAGGAAGGAAACGGAAAACAAAUAUUCUGCUUAAAGUUCUUUGGGUGAAAGGCAGGAGACAUAUAUAGCUUUUUCUGUGGUAGCUUUGCUUUUAUUGCAGGGCUUCUUCCCCCCCACCCCUUAACUAACAGCCAGUGGUGGGGUGGGGGCUGAAUCAGGACUAUGGGAGGGAGUAUUCACCCCUACCAUGGUCCUUAUUUGAAUCAGAUAGUCUAUCCAUCUUGCUGUUCACAGUGAAAGGAAAGCAACACAAGACCUACUUACUUCACGUCUAGCAUGGCCCUUACUGAGGGACCUAAAUCACAAUUCCUUAGCCUAAUGUACAGCAGAAGGCUAUUGUGAGAACAAGGGGAGAGGGAGGAAUGGCAGUAUAGAAGUCUAAUAAAUAAAUUAAAAGCCCAUGUUAUUACACCACUCUGCACAUACAUACCCAUAUCCCAACAACCAGAAAUAUUUGUUAUUGAUACUGUAUUUUUAUAGUAGAUCUCAACUGUUUGAAAGUCAACAUGGGUGCCAUUUUUGGCUGGAUGUCAGGGUGUGUGUUUGUGUGCGUGUGUGUGAAUAAGCUAAUAUUUCAGCUCUGUCUAACAUACUCACAGACUAAUUCUGAGCAUGUUUAUUGAGAAGAAAGUCCAACUGAGUUCAAAAGACAUUAGUUCCAAGCUGAAGUCCAUGUUUGGAGGCAUGAUCUGGGGAAGGACUAUUGUUUUCAUGUCCUGUUUCUAAGUCUCUAAGGGACGUAAGAUGCAAAGAUGGUAAACUAGAUGAAUACAGUGGUACCUCGGGUUACAUACGCUUCAGGUUACAGACUCCGCUAACCCAGAAAUAGUACCUCAGGUUAAGAACUUUGCUUCAGGAUGAGAACAGAAAUUGCGCGGCGGCAGCGAGAGGCCCCAUUACCUAAAGUGGUACCUCAGGUUAAGAACAGUUUCAGGUUAAGAACGGACCUCUGGAACGAAUUAAGUUCUUAACCCGAGGUACCACUGUAUUUGGUCUAAUGUAGCAGGGCUCUUCUUAGUCUUCUUAAAUGUGGCAUACAACCAAAGCCUUAAACUUACACUGUAGCUUAAAGCACAGCAUUCUAACAUUGACAGAACUGUACUAACAACAUAUAAGCUAUGGGAGAAAGUCUUAGGGAGAAACAUUAUUCCAUUAUUAGAUGAGGCUCUAUGGAAACUUCUGAUAGGAGACCCAAGGCAUUGCAGUGUCCCUGCAAUUCACUGUACAUAUACACUCUGCCUGAAUGGAUCAGCUUUGCAUAUUAUUGAAUGAUUUGAAGAAACCACAGUAUUAAAUCUGGGGAUUAAUGUGAAAACUGAAAUGCUUAUGUUACAAAGGAAACAGAAGACGAAAUAGCAAACAUAGCCUGCUAUAUUUUUUAAUUGCAGAUAUGCUAAAACAUCUUUUAAUAUGAGCACAAAGCUUGGGAAAUAGAAGCUAUAUUUUAAAAUGUACUAAUAAUUACACUCCAAAAGCUCCAUAUAGUUUUCUACAUAAUUUAAAAUAUGAAAUGUUUAUCCUAUUGCAGCACAAUCCUUUUUUAAAAAAACCUCCGAAUAAUAUUAGCAACAGAUUUCUUUCAACAAAGUAUAUGGAAAUCACCUUUUUGAUAACGUACAAAUCGUGCUUUUAGGUAGCCUAUAAAAUUACACAUUUCAUAUUUAUGGCAGUCAUUUUCUGCAGAGCAAACAACUAUUGUAUCUUUUUACACAGUCUAUUAUUUGUUUAAAAGAGAAAGUGAUGUCUUUUCAUGGGAACAGAAUCAUGAUGGCAUCACAUGAUUGAGCUAUUACAGUUAAUUCCCUGUCAGCUUCACCUUAAAAAACCCUAUCUUUAGGAAUUUAUAACUGCUAUAAACACAUACACACAGUUCUAAGCUAACAAAAGAGUAUAAUCAGAUAAAGGUGUUAAAAAGAAGUUUUUAAAAAACAAUUAUUUCCCCCAAUCUCCAAUAGUUCCAUCAUGAGACUGGGGGUAUUUAAAAUUAAAGGGUCAUAAUAUUACUGCUGAAAUUCUAUUGCUGCAGUCUUGUAGUCUUCACGACUAUUCUGAAACAAUCAAUGUGAACAUAGUAACCCAAUAGCCACAAUGUGCACUAAGAGGGUAGAACUGCUACUGAAUCUACUUUUGAUAGUGGAAUUCAAAGAUAUACCAGUGUAGUGACCAGAUGACAACAGAGCGCCCUGUCCUUUUACUGGGGCUAUGGUUGUGUCUCUAGUUAUUAUAAUAACUAAGCCCUCCCCCAUAGAGGCUAUAAACAUCAUUUUCUAUUGUUUGUGAAGCUGUCUCAAGACCACCUCCCAAUUCUACUACUACUACUAAUUUUAUUAUUUAUACCCCACCCAUCUGGCUAGGUUGCCCUAGUUACUCUUAAGUAAGUAACAUUGUACUCAGGCUCAACAGCAACUCUACAUUCCUUUCUGACAAAGCACAUGGCUCUACGGUUUGCAGCUGGGGUGCACUGUAAGCACAUUUUGACAUUUAAAAAAUCCAAAGAUAUGCGGUGGUACUUUCUCACUUUUCUUCUGCUUUGACUAUACAUUUAAAGUCCUUUGAUUGUUUGUUUUCCAGUUUGCAGAAACACCAAGCAACCAAAGUUCUUCACAAGAAUGGUCUCUCAUAAUAUGACCUGGAUGAAGUACCCAAGCCAGAGCCGAGAUUCAUUCACAAGUUUUGAAGACAUCAUAUUCUCACAACAUGUAAUAUCAAGAUUUAUGCACUGCUAUAUUACGCUCUUUGUACCAACUGGUCUACUAGCUGGGAUUGUUAUUUUAGGCAUCCUCAUCAAGAACCAUAUGCAGCGCACCAAUGAGAAAUUAGAUAUAAUGCUUUUUGCUCACACCAUCAGCAACAUGUUAAUGAUUCUUUUAUCACUCACCAUCAUCACAAGGCCUGCCUACCUCAAAGUAUCCUAUUUUGAGUGUGGAACGCUGUCGUUUUUUUUCAAUUUGAAUUACUUCAGCUCUCAGUACCUUCUUGUCCUCAUGGUGCUUAGCUUUUUUCUUUAUAGGCACCCACCCCAAAAUGCUUUAAUUAGUAAGGCACAUCAAAACCCUAUGGUAUCUGUUGCAUUUGCACUGAUAUGUGCCUUUUGUGCUACACUAAUAGUGGUGGCACUGCUGGGCAUGGAGAAUUACCAUGAAGAAACAGACUGCCAAUUAGAUCCUUUAUUUGCAUGGCCUGAAUACGAGAUUAUUAAAUUUACCUUUGGCUUCUGCAUUCCAUCUUUGGCCAAGCUUCUCUGCUUUAUUCUAAUGUUUGUUAAAAAAGUUCAGCCAGAAAUCCAUCCCUCAAGAUACAAUAUUCACCCUUAUUUGACUGUUUUGGUUAUUACAAUAACAAUGUUUGUGUGUCGUCUAUUUUACAACAGUAUGAUUCUCUCUAGGACCAGCUUGAAGAUACGGAGGAUAAUAGGGACACCCCAAAAUGAGCUGACAAUGAAUAUUGCAGAGAUCCUGCUGUUCAGCGAAAGCUGUGUUAGUUUAGUUAUCAUUCUUUGCCUUCAUAAACCAUGCAGAAUCGGCUUAUUGAAUGUUAUAACUAAUCUCACAAAAGUUUGCAGGAGGAGACAUGCUAGUAACAGUCCUCUUGAAAUACCAGAGACUCGUACUGAAGUCUCAUCUGGGCCCUCUGAAAAUGGAUCACACUGACCUUUGCCUUCCAAAAUAUUAGCAUUGAAGAAAAAAGCUACAAAUCUGCCAACGUACAGAACCUGAAGGAAUAAAAGAUUUGCAAGCUUAUUUAUUCUUACAACCUGAGGAACAAAUAUUCUCCAGCUGGGGCUGAAAGCUACAAUCAUAGUUACUUAAUGUUCCUCCUGUGUUGCUAUUGCACGUCGUUGUUGUGUGCUGAUGUAUGGACAGCAGAGUGAACAACAGGACAGGCAACAUGGUCAAGAGCUUUUAUAAAAAGAAACUUUUCCAGGAUCAACAAAGGGGUAAUGAAUAUGGAAGACUGCAUGGGAGAGUGAAGGGAGAUCUUGAUAAAGCAGUGUAUCACCUAGGAUUUAAUGUAUUAUUCUAUAAGUGACUCUUAUAUCAACAAAAUUAACUAAGUUAUCAUGCACCAUAAUCCUUCAGUCCAUACAUUUGUAUCCCCCUCCCAACAUACAUUCAUAAGGGAUACAAGUCACUUGAAGAGGGGGCCCUUUUUCUCUGUUCACCCAUCCUGGACCAAUAAACACCACCCAUGGAACUGUCUAGCCUAAGAAGUCCAGCUUUCAGAAUCCAGCCUGCUUGAAUGUGGGUGCUUUUAAAGGGCAUCCUGUGUACAGAAUGGAACAGAACCGCACGGAGCAACAGACAAAAUAGUUAUACUGAAUUAUAGACAUUGAGGCUCUGAGAUUAGAAGUUGUACCCAUCUUCAAAAGGGGGGGGGGGAGAAGAUUGAGGUAACUACCGAUCCGUCAGCUUUUCUAUACCAGGAAAGACCCUAGAACAUACAAUUAAAUGGUCAGUCUGUGAGUACUUAGGAAAGGAUGCUAUGAUUGCGAAGACCGAGUAUGGGUGUCUCAAAAACAAGUCAUGCCAAACUCAUUUCUUUUUUUGAUAAAGUUACAAGCUUGGUGGAUUGGUGAAUGCUGUGGAUGUGGUGUAUCUUGAUUUCAAUAAGGCUUUUGACACAAGUCCCCUGUGAUAUUCUUGCAGAGAAGCUGGUAAAAUGUUGGUUAGAUGAGGUUACUGCUAGGUGGAUUUGUAGCUGGUUGACCGACAAAACCCAAAGAGUGCUCACUAAUGGUUCCUCAUCAUCCUGGAACAAAGGGACAAGUGGGGUGCCACAUGGGAGGGUUCUGUCUUGGAUCUGUUGUUCAACGUCUUUAUAAAUGACUUGGAUAAAGGAAGUGAGGGGAUGCUCAUCAAAUUUGCAGAUGACACCAAACUGGGAGGGGUAGCUAAUGCCACAGAAGACAGAAUCAGAAUUCAAAAUAACCUUAAUAGAUUGGAGAACUGGGCCCAAGCUAACAAAAUUAAUUUCAGUAGGGACAAAUGUAAGGUUCUACACUUAGGCAGGAAUAAUCAGCUGCAAGAAUAUAAGAUGGGGUACGCCUGACUUGUCAGUAGUAAAUGUGAAAAAGAUCUAGGAGCCUUGUUGGAACACAAAAUUAAUGUGAGACAACAGUGUGAUGCAGCAGCAGAAAAAGCUAAUGCUAUUCUAGGCUGCAUCAACACAAGUACAGUGUCCAGACCAGAUCAAGAGAAAAUCACUAUAUUCUACCUUAGUCAGACCACAACUGGAAUACUGUGUCCAAUUCUUAUCACCACAAGGAGGAUGUUGACAGGCUGGAAUGUGCACAGAGGAGGGCAACCAAGAUGAUCAAGGGACUGGAAAGAUGAUCAAGGGACUGGAUGAUCAAGGGCCUUAUGAGGAAAGGUUGAAGGGGCUGGGUAUGAUUAGCCCAGAAAAGAGGAGACUGAGAGGAGAUAUGAUCUUCAAAUAUCUAAAGGGUUGCCACAUGGAGCUUGUUAUCUCCUGCUUCAAGGGUGGGACCCAAACCAAUGGAUUCAAGUUACAAGACAGGAGAUUCCGACUAAACAUUAGGAAAAACUUUCUGAUGGUAAUAGACUUCCUCAGAAGGUGGCAGACACGCCUUCAUUGGAGGUUGGAUGGCCAUAUGUCACAGUCACUUUAGUUAAGAUUCCCGCAUUGCAGAGGGUUGGACUGGAAUUGGGCCCAUUCCAAUUAUACAAUUAUAUCAUUCUGUAAGUUCCCUUAAAAAACAAGGGGUUGCAAAAGGGCAUUGUAUUUGCUGGAAGUGUGCAGUAUAUUCAAGACAGCCUAACUGCUGUGCAGUAGAAAUGGAAAAGCCAUAUUUCAGGGUGGGGUGGGACAUGAAUACAGGUUCUACAAACCAGGACAGCUGUUCUGGGCUUGAGGUAAAUUAAUUAUUUCGGGUGCAGGCAGUGUUAAAUACAUCUGGGCAGGCCUUUGCCAAAAUAUCUAAUUGAUGUAACAAUGACCAACAACAUGAAAGAUUUAACAUGAGAAUGGUGCUAUUGGGGAUAAUGUGGUAUAGUAAGAUGAAAUGUGUCCAUGUGAUCAUGGUGAAUCAUGCCUCUUUAAAUGUUUUGGAGAAAAAUGAAAUCAUGUCAAAAGACAUAGCAAGAAAAAAAUGCAAGGAGGACAGUAGUUCUUUCAUUAAGAUGGGUAAUAAAUAACAGUCUAGGAGUUUCUUAACAGUAAAUGAGAUGAAUGUAAGGCAAGGCAUGAAAGAUCUAACAGGGUGUUGGAGCCUUUUUCUUUUCAUGCAUAGAGAGCGUUAUCUGCUGGUUCAAGGCUUACCUUGAAGCAGGGGUAGGCAACAUGCUGCCCAUCAAUGCUGUGAAUUUCAGCUCCCAUAAAGCCCAACCACCCUGGCUGAUGGUCAGGAAUUAUGUGUCUUAGGGCAGGAACCUUUCUCUCCCAUAUGCUACUCUGUAAAGUGUCGUCUAUGGUUAUGGCACCAUGUACAACAUAAUAAUCAUUAUUAAUAAUGAUAGUCUGAUUUCUCAUCAAGAAGACUGGCUUAUUCCAAAUACUUCUGAAAAUGAAAAGAGAAAUGUAUGUCCAAGGCAAACUAUUGCUUUGGACUGUUUUUUGGUAAUGUCAAAGGGUAUCUUUGUUUCACCAACUUCCUACAACAAAAUCACACAUCAACUACUGCCACAGGCUGGACUUUGGGAUGUAAUAAACAUAUGUGCCAGGAAAUAACUCAGGGGAUUCUCUGUCUGAGAUAGCGCGCAAGAAAAUAUUGUAACAUUGUGUGCUUAUACAUUGCAAUAGUUGUUGGGGAAAUGUUAGAAGGGAUUUUGUAGUGAAGACACAUCAGAGCCUUUCAACAUCUAUGCCAGUGAAUAUUAGACCAACUAAUAUUAGGGAGCUGAGGCUAAGGUCUGCCCUGACUACAACAGGACCUCCAAGUGUAACACUUUACCUGAAUUGGGAAACAAUGAAGGAUGUACUCAGGGUUGUUAUUAUGGGAGGUAUUAAGCAUGAUCCCCACCCCUAGUGAUCCCAGCCAUUGAUUAAAAAGACUUUUUCCAAUCCUUCAUCUGCAUAGCCCUGCCCUGUGUUCCAUUUCUUGAUCCCACUAGAGUGUGACAGAAUGCUAGAAGCUACUUUUUAUGUAUAUAUAAAGUUUAUGAUGAUAUGAUCAACAAGAAUCAACAACUGUUUUUCAUCUAUCAAAAUGUGAACCAAAUUCAAGUUUUCUCAAUGCAUAUGGUUAAUAAAGGUUUCUAAAAAUA